AAUAUGAAAGUUUUAAUAUUUAUUUUUGAGUUUUAGAGAUUUUCUAAAUUUUGUUUGAAACUUAUUAUUAAAAUUAGCAUACUUUGGGUAUUAAAAUGAUCAUAAUUUUGAAAGUAAGUAUAUUAAAAUAAGUAAAAUAAUUAGUUUAAGUAUUAAAUUAAGUAGCAAACAAGUUUGGGUAUUAAAAAUGUUAAAGUUGAGGUGUUUUUAUAAAAAAAUUCCAUAUUAUAAAUUUUGUACUUAUUAUAGUUCCCAAAGAGGCUUAUUUAAAUGUAUUAUUUAAAUACAUAAGAAACAUGCAGACCAGAUAUCUAGUUGUUAUUAAAGUUCACCAUCGUAGCUUUAUAAAGUUGGAAACUUUGGAGUUCCAAAGGUGUGUACAAAGGGUUAAAGCAAUUUCUGAUUUGUUUCAAUAUAUAUUAAGUUUCCUUAUAUUGUAAGAUAACAUUUUCUAUUGUUUUCCCAUUGAAUCGAGCAGAAACAAUGUUUUUUCUCUAGAAAAGGUUCAAAUGGAAGUUGACAAAACACAAGAUUGUUGAGCAUUAAAACACAAGUAGGUAUAGUUUGUCCGUUUAGUUAUCUCAGUAAUUCACUUUAACAUCAUGCUCUUAAAUCCAAUAACGACCACUGCUACACGAUCCGCUUGGGACGUGAAACGAGCGUGACAAUUCCAUAAUUUGUAGAAUAAAAUAAUAAUCCAAUUAUAACACAUUAUUAUUAAUUUAUUUCCAUAACCUAAUUGUUAAAAGAUUUAUAAAUUAAGAUACUAAAUUUUCAAUACAUUUCAAUAGUUAGCUUGAGUUUCAGUUUAGCAUUUUGAAGCAAAUUUUCGUUAUUAAAACGAAAAUAUUAAUGUCUUCAAAUGAUCGACACCUUAUUAAUAUAGCUGCUAACUCUCUAGUUUUCUUUAACUUUGUUUUUCUCUAGAGUCAAUCAGAAUAAUUCUUGAUGAUGGGCAUGCUUUUAUAAAGUUACAUGUAAAUGUUUUUUCCAUUUUCUGAUUUACUUAUGUGGUAGGUAGUGUAAACUUAUGGCGAAUUAAUCACUGUUUAAUUAUAGUUUAUAUCCACUCUGCUUUAAACUUUAGUACGUACAGCCCAAAUGUCAGAACACAGUCCACAUGAUUUUGUCUGACGUAUAAAAUAAAAAUAAUAGCCCACCUGAUUUAAUUACAUCUUCUUUUGCUACGAGAUAAUCUUUUUUGCUAGAAAAAACUGUUCUUUUGAAGAACACACAUAUAAAUGUUCUUUCGAAUAAUUAUAAAAUCACGGAAAAGUAAACAAAUUGUAUUGAAUUAUUCAUACCAUCAUAAUACAUGAAUUGAUUGAUUGACUCAUAUAAUCGACCAGUUAGAUAUCUUUAAUGAUUUUAGAAUAUUUGAAAUAUUUUUAUAUAAGAAAAUAAAUUCUAAAUAAUGCAAAUUGUUUUCAAAAGGCACAAAAAAGAUAAAUAAUUCAGUUACAAAAAAUGAUAAAAUAAUAAUCAAAUAAUUAAAUAUUGAGAGGUUGCAAAACAAGAUCUGACAGAGAUAGAUGAAGAAUGGGUUGUCAUGUUCUCCAACACAAGUCCCACUUCUGAGAGAGAUCUCUAGACUCUAACUAACUACUUACAACCAAUCAACAGCUCACUGACAAUUCCCUAACUUUUAACAUCUUUUCCAAAAGAAAAGCUGAGAAAAUUCAUAGCCUUUCAACUUUCAAUAUACACACAUUGUUGUCGACGAUUAUACAUUUGAUUUUAGUUUGGUCUUACAGAUAUUAAAACUAAACAAUACAGUUUGUAUGUGAAAAUGAGAAAUGCUUAUUAGUGACUGGGUCAAGAACCCUACUCAACAUCACAUUCUUAAAAGAUAUUUUUAAAACAAAACUUUUGGACAUAUCAGAUCUGUCCAUGGAUUUUAGCUUUAAAUGUUACACAAAUAGUUCGUGAUUGAAUAAUAAUAACAAGAAGCCAAUGUAUGGCACAUUCAACUUCCCCAUGAGCAUAGAUGAGAGUGUCUGCUGCAAAAAUCACUCAAUCACUGCUUCUCCUUUCGACACUUCUCUCAUGGCUCUUCUUUUCUCUUCCCUGCAUAUGUGUUCAUCCAAAGCAUUGUCAAGUAAAAAAAUAUAUAUAAGGCAGCCCAAAGCAUCCCUGCAAUUUCCAUCUUCCAUUCAGAUCCUCAACAUUUCCAGAUUUUGAUUUCUUAUCUUUCUUGCCUCUUUUAUCCUCCUUUGAUUUUGCAAGUCUCUCCUUGUUUUCUUUAGUUUCCUUGGGUUGCUUAUUGGGAACAUGAGGCUUCUCCAGCUUCAUCAUCAUCAUCAUCUUGUAGCUAGGUUAAUGUAUUUCAGUUAUACAACUACUAGAGUAAUGACAAGGACAUGGUAGAGAUAAUUUAUAGGGUUAACAGUGAGUACCUUUGCCACAAAGAAUCCGUCCAUGUGUACAUGAGGAUAAAAACGUGUAGUCUUCUGUAUCAAUACAUGCUCUCGAUGCGAAUUGGCAAACUUCAUCAACAUCUUUUUUACUUUGUUAGAAACUCAUCUUCAACCAGAGCCGUCAAGCAUCUCCUACCAUCGGCCUCUUUGAUUCUAUAUCUUUUGGUGAACGAGAUUGUUUGAUUAGUUUUUGUGAAAUCUUAAGAUUAGUGUGUUAAUCUCUAGAAGAAGCCACUCAUUUCGUUUCUAAAUUAUGUUCACUAGGUGUUCUUCGUUGCAAGGAUCACUGACUUCUAGAUCAGUUUGAUUAUCAACUUCUGUAAAGACUGGUUUAGCCAUUGUGGCACUUAUAACGAUAUCUCUUUUGUGUUAUAACAACACUUUGAUAAGGAUUCUUCAUCUUCGUGUACAUUGUUCUACCUAUCUUUUACAGGAGUAAUGCUUAUGAUGCACAGGCGUUUUCAUUCUAUACUUCGCAAACCUUUGAUCCUAUAACAUUACCCGUAUACUGACGAGAAGGACUUUGACAUCAAUCUAGACGCUUACAAUGGUUACAGCAAGCUCUAUUUGAGUGUGAUGUUUGCUUUGCUUUAUGGACUCAGCUUUGCUUCUGUUUUUGCUACCAUCUCUCAUGUCGCCCUCUAUGAUGGAAACUUGUUGCGACUGUGGUUUCAUCGACCGUCUGCUUCGGAACAACCUGAAGGCUCAUUACAUCCGUCGGGAACAUAUGUAACACGAAUUUGCUCCCACUGGGUAGUCCAUGGACUUGUCCCGGAUACGAAGUGUUUUACAAUGCAUCGAUCAUAUGGGGAGUGAUCGGUCCAAGGAGGAUGUUUACCAAAGAACAUAUCUAUCCCGGGAUGAACUGGUUCUUCCUCGUCGGCAUCUUGGCUCCGGUUCCCUUCUGGUACCUAUCUAAGAAGUUCCCAGAGAAGAAAUGGCUAAAACACAUCCAUAUUCCCUUGAUCUUCUCUGCAGUAAGCUCAAUGCCACAAGCCAAGGCUGUGCAUUACUGGUCCUGGACCAUCGUUGGGGUUGUGUUCAACUACUACAUCUUCAGGAGGUUUAAGAGUUGGUGGGCGAGGCACAACUACAUCCUCUCUGCAGCGCUUGAUGCAGGGACCGCAAUUAUGGGAGUGUUGAUAUUCUUUGUGUUUCAGAACAAUGACAUGAGCUUACCUGAUUGGUGGGGGCUCGAGAAUUAAGACUAUUGCCCUCUAGCACAUUGCCCGACCGCCUUGUCCUGUGUUCUAAGGUUGAUGCAGAUAGAGUGUUGCCCGAAAAGGGUUUCAUGUUGUUUAGGAUUUAACUAUGUACUUUCAAAAUUUUAGAAGAACAACCAAAUCAAGCAAAGCUUUCAUUCCAA